GUCCUCAUGACCCUUCGACAGCACAUAUACUAAAAUUGGAACGAUACAGAGAAGAUUAGCAUGGCCCCUGCACAAGGAUGACACGCAAAUUCGUGAAGAGUUAUUAAAUGGC